GGAGUAGGGUUAGGGUUAGAGGAAGGUUGAGGUAAGGGUUAGGGGUAGGUGUAGGGUUCGGGUUAGGGGUAGGGGUAGAUUUAGGGAAUUAGGGAAUUUUAACCCCCUCCCCGACCUUCCUCUAACCCUACCCCUAACCCUAACCCUACCAUUAACUCUACCACUAACUCUACCCCUACCCUUAAUCCGAACCCUACCCAUUCCCCUAUCCCUUACCCCAACCUUCCUCUAACCCUAUCCCUACCCC